AACAGUCAGUGUCAUGACAGGGCAUCUCAACAGACUGUAGCCUGUAACUGCUCACAUUGGACCAUCUCAAACCUCACUAGAAUUGUCUCCGGUACUUACAUCUGUAAAGUUACUAUAGAGAUACCAUCRCUUAUUGAAUCUGUGGGGAAUGGYACACGGAUAACAGUUACAGCCAGAGAGAAUAAAAGCAAAGUGGUUAUUGAGACCUCGGAGGACAUAGCAGUCCCCUACACCUUGAGAUGUCUCCCAGUCAUUAUACUGGUGGCCAUAUUCUGUUACUAUAGCUACCAGUGGAAGAAAAGUCAAUUAGUUACUAUCUUGUCUCAUCGCUACAACUCCCGUACGG